rnacentral:lncRNA from 1 species
UACAAGCCUGUAGGCCCAGCUACUUGGAAGACUGAGGCAGGAGAAUCACUUUAAGCGGGAGGCAGAGGUUGCAGUGAGCCAAUCUCAAAAAAGAAAGAAAAAAAAAAAGAAAAACAUAUGAUGCUGGGGCAUCUCGGCCUCAAUACCUGCAUGAGCACAGUCACGUCCAGGCCAGGGCUGCUGGUCGAGGUCCGGCCCCAUCUCUUCCAGCAGAAAGGGAGUAAGCUUGCAGGGAGGCUGGGGGACAAGAUCCCAGGAUCUCAGCCUCUGCUCAUGGAUCAGCUCUGAGACCCCGAGUGAGCUGGGGGUGCUCUGUGCGCAUUGGUUUCCCCAGCUGUCAAGUAAAGGGAUUGGAUGAGGAAGUCUUGUCAAGGUGGAAUGAUCUCAGAUUUGGGGCAGCAGUGAAUGAUCCCGCUCCCUGGGCCCAUGCCAGUGGCCUGGCCUCGGCUCAACACAGCCCCAACACUCUGGAAUGGGGAUGAGGGGGCAGUCAGCUCUUGCUCCUAGUAAGAGAGAUGCAACAGGGCUCUGUGGCUGAGCUGGGUGCCUUGCCUCACACCUGUAAUCCCAACCUUUGAGAGGCCAAGGCAGGAGGAUUGCUCGAGGCCGGGAAUUUUGAGAAUAGCCUGGACAACAUAGCCAGACCCCAUGUCUACAAAAUAAUAAUAAAACACACAGCUAUAGUCCAAGCUACUUGGCAGGCUGAGGCAGGAAGGUCCCUUGAGUCCGGGAAUUGGAGGCUGCAUUGAGCUAUAAUCGCACCACUGCACUCCAGCUUGGGUGACAAAGUGAGACCCUGUCUCUAAAAGAAAAAAAAAUUGGCCUGUGAGCAUGGGUUUGAUUUUCAAACAGGACCUGGAGGGUAGGGACAGACAGUGCUGUCACCCUUAGGUGCUGAACACUCAGAAACGGGCCAGCGGCAGCCCUUCCCUCACCUGCAGACACCAGAUUGGGCAGAACAGCACAUGGCACUUGCAGCUCUUGCAGUGAGGGCAGAACCCAGUGUCAACCCUUCUGCCUGUGGGAGGGGCUGCUGAGGCCUGCGGAGAGGCCAGGGUGGAGGCUCGUCCCCUUGUCCAGCCCUUGGCGUGGUCUCCACCAGGUCCCCAGCCCACCAGUGCAGGGCGCCCCUGAGCCUGCUGCUGCCAUGGGCCCUGUCUCUACCCAGGACGUCCCCACACCCUCGCAGUGUCAGGGAAAUGAUCAUGGUGGCGGUGACACUCCGCAGGCAGGGCUGCUGAGAGAAGCUGAGAAGGGUCACACUGCAGGCAGGGGCCCGUGUGACAAGCCCCUCUCACCCCGAGAGAGCUGACCAGGCAGCUCACGAGCAGAGCCACAUCCCGGGAGUCCGAGAAAGGUCCUGGCUGGGCUCAGCCACCUCAUUGGCCACGGGCAGCCUUUGUCAUGUGAGCCUUGCUCUCCUGGGGAGGCUCAGGCUGACAGCUGAUGUGGGCAUUGCCGAAGGUAACCCGUGGCCCAGUGUAUAUGGCCGGGUCUCCUCAAGCUGCAUUCAUUCAAGUAGGACCCAGGGUGCGUGCCCAUCUCCAGCCCAGGGCAGCUCCCCUGUAAGCUGGGUGAGCUACUGAAGCCAAGGCGGGAGGCAGCUGACAACACCCACAGCCCAUGCGGAGGUGGUGGAAAGGCUGAACUCAGCAGCAACACCAAAUCCUGGACCAGGCAAAAACCACCCAAGACUGAGGGGCUCGUGCCAGAGCGGUGGCCACAGCCCCACCCCACCGGCUCAGGGGUUCUUCCCAGCGGCGCUGAUCAUGAAGUCAACAUGCACGCAAGUCGUCUCAGGAAACUUCUUAAUGAAAGUGUCGGCCACGGUGGUGUGUAGGUGGCUGAGCUCAGAUUGCAGCUGCUAAGACACCAGCCACUUACCAAGAGAAAGCCAGGCUGCUUCAAACCCAGGGCCCACGGCAAAAAAGCAUCACUUCCGGCCGGGGAGUCUGGAAGCCACGCCUUGUGGGAGGUCACACUGGCAUCUAGGCCUUCGCCUGCAUUGCAGAAGGAGAGCCGGGUCCCCCUCCUGGAGAACGCUGCGUUCCCCAGCCCCACACCGGCUUUGCCACCACACAGGCUGUUGAGGCAGGAGGCGGAGACUUCAGAACCCACUCCUGAGAACAGCGGAGCCAGGCGCUUAGAGGAAGACCAAAUGCUGCCAGGACACGGAUUGUCCAGGAUUACAUUCCAGCAUCUUAUUAGAGGACCGAAGCAGAGGGUGCUGUUUCAACGCCACCACCAGGAGAGAGGCAGAGGGGCUGUGCCGUGCUAGAGUCCUCAGGGAGGGAGUGACCUCGACCCUGGCUGUGCUGCAAGCUGACUCCAGCCUUGGGGUCAGCAGCACCCGGCAAACAGCAGCAGGAGGAGCCGCUAGAGCAGCUGCUCAUGGGCAGAGCUGCCCUCGGGCAACUCCUGCCACCACCCCCUCCCCAGGGAGCCCAAGGCAGGGGAGGCUCAGCAUGGAAUGAAACAGGGGAGUGAGGGACACAAGGAGGUGGGAAGUGGGAGGGUCCCAGCCCCACCAAGUACGCAGAGAACCCCUCGUUGUCCUGGACACCACAGGGGCACCUGCAGGCUGGGAGACCAGGUCCUCUGUGCAUGGGCCCGGGAGGCAGACCUGCCCUAAGGGUGAUGCACAGGCUACAGGUGCUGCACGCUCCAGCGCCCACUCUAGACAUCAGCCUCCAGGUUGACUAAGGGUCAGGUCAUGUUUGAAACCAUGCUUGGCUGGACCAGGACCCAUGGCAAGAGCACCUGGGCACCAGUGUUUAGCCCUGGUCUGCAGGAAGGAGGACAGCAGACUUUAGGACCCCACAGCACGGCAGUGCUGACCAUUUCACCCACUUGGCCUCCUUGAGAAAUAUGGAUGGGGACCCCUCUGGGGAUGGGCAAGGCCUUCCAGGAUAGGCUCAGUUUUGGUCCCCUGCUUUUUGAGGUUGGGUUAAAAUUCCGACCAUGGCAGAGGAAGCACAGCUCAGGUUCCCACACCUCACUUUUCACAGCCUCUGAGGGCAGCAGUGCACGUGGAGGAGACGUCUCCCAUGAGGCCAAGGCCUCCAGUGCUCACCGAUGCCCUCUGCGAAGUUGGGGUAGAACUCGUCAGUGAAGAGGGGCUCGGGCAGCUCACGGAAAUACAGCUUCAGCGUGCCUGCGAUGGCGUUCACGUCCAUCUCGCUCAUCAUCACCGACACGUCCUUGUUAUCUGGAAAGAGCACGGAAAUGCAGCGGCCUCCUUGAAGAUCCUGAUAAAUGAAGAAAAGACACAGAGAAGGAUGUGACAUGCCUGGGCCGUGGAGCACUCUGAGAUCUCAUCGCGGACACCACUGCCCACACCUCCAUCCCGUCCUGCGCAGGCCGACACUCACUGACGUUGAAGGCUGCCUUCAGUGCCUGGAUGUCUGCGGCCACCCCAGACAUGCGGUAGAUGCCCACCUCCUCCAUGCCUCGGCGCUCGAUCUCCUCCACGCACUGGCGCACGAUGUAGGGCACCUUGGACCUCUCUCUCCUGCGGGAGGAGGGAAUGUUCUCAGUGUCCUAACAGCCCUGCUUGGGCCAUAACACAGGAGACCUGCUCCCUAUGUGCACACCCGGAGGUGGGGUGAGGACGGUGAUGAAGGUACCCAGGUCUGGGGCUGCACACAGAGCCUUCUGCAUGCCUGUCCUCCCUCUGCAAGCUCUGUCCUCAUUGCAUGUGCUUUCUCAGGAACCUUUCAAGCGGCCAGAACCCCUGCAAAUCACACAUGACCUUUGUGGGAAGGUCAGGAGGCCUGUCUAAGUCAAGUCAGCACGGGAAGGGCAUCUGACAGAUUCCAGGCCUGGGGUGAGCAGCCUGUGCCCCCGGCUGGGAGGUCAGACCCGGUGUUGGUCCUGCCACCCACGUGCUGUGUGAGAGGAGAAUCCGUGACCCCUGCCCUGGGCCUUAACACACAUCCGACGAAUGAAUGAAGGGUUGCCUCAGCACCGGUGCUCCAAGUCCUGCGAUGCUAAGUGCUUUUCUCCUCUGAGUCUUAGCAAUGGACAAUUCCAAUACCUCCACACAGGACACUAGAGUAAGAAUCCUUCACAGUUAGAACGCAGUGCUGUGCGGAGGCCUUAACUUGAGUUCUGUUUUGCACCUGGAUUUACCAGCACAUCAAAGCUGCUUCGCAAGCCCCCUCAUCAGCAGGGCUCAUGUGGGGGAGCUGCUGAUGGAGUCCUCGCUGCUCAUGCCCACAGCCCUCCCAGAGUGCUAUGCGAGUGGCUGCCGUGCAGUUGGGGGUGGGGCGUGGUGUUUAGACACAGAUAGGAGUCCAGGGUAUGACUGAUGGAGGCCCCGGCCCACGUGACCAGCAAGGUCAGAGGCCCAGCCAGAUUCCAUCCUGAGGAAGCAAAUGAAUUCUCAGAGGAAGUGGUCUGUGUCUGCAUGAACUGCUCUCAAACCAACAAAUAGGCUUCUCUUGGCAACUGACUCGUGACAAAGGGUUCAAGAUUGUUUGAAAAAAAAAAAGGGGGGGGGGGGACAGGGAGGCAGUAGGUCCUGGAAAAGUAAAUUCUUUAUUUUACAAUAAGAAAGUGAUUACAUAUUUUAUUUUUUUUUACAAUGGUGGAAAAUUAGAAGUGAUUGUGAAAAUGAUGUCUACCCGCCUUGCUGAUGAGUAGGAUGUGAUUUGGCUCUUUAGGAAACUGAAUUUGCAGAACUUAAGAAUAUUGAUUUAUAAAGGGCAUGGCCAUUGACCCAGUCCAUCUUAUGCAAAUCUGGAUGCCAUAAAUAAUAUUUAAAAAUGAAAGUAUUGGGGUGGAGGUUGCAGUGAGCGGAGAUCGCCCCACUACACUCCAGCCUGGUCAACAGAGUGAGACUCUGUCUCAAAACAAAAAAAAAAAAAAAAAAAGAAGAAGUCAUUCCCAACAUUGCUCAUCAAAUUAUGACCAUAAAUUUCCAGGAUCAGACUAACGGCUAAAGAGACUGAUGCAUCAACACCAGGCAGAGAAUAAAGCAGAUUUUUUUUGUUUUGUUUUGGAGAGCCUCUAGGAACUUGAAAAAUACAUAUGCCACACUCUUAAGACCCGGUGGUUCUUAAUCAGGGAUGUUCAUUAAAAUGCUGGAAAACUCUAAAGAUUUCCAGGUCCCAUCCAAGGAGAUUUUGCUUCUGAUUGACUGGCUAGUGGCCUGGCCAUUGGUAUUUUGAAAAAUCCCUCCAAGUGAUUCUUUUACAUCCCAGCUAGAAAACCCUAAAUUAAAGGUGAAAAACCAGACACCAAGUGGCAUUUAAAUAAAUGUCAACUUUAACUCCACAAAGCAUCUGGUUGCAUGUGGACAGAAAGAGAAGGAAAGAGGGCCCUAUAUCUGGAUAACUUGGAAAUGUGCUCCCCCUAGCAAGAUAUCUACCAAAAUUAAAACCAUAUUUGAGGAUGCUGGCACUGUGAGCAAUAUAUAAAUGAUGCAUGUAACAUCAUUUAAUAUGAUCUUAUUUUUAAAAAUGAGUAGAGUGGUGUUUUCUAGCUGUUAGUGUUUCCAAAUAUCAAUGUAGAAAUUAGCCUUCUGCAGCUGCAGAGGCAAUUCAGUUUGCAGCUUGCUUGCAUGUGGCCUAGAGCCACCCAGCCUGAUAUGUACUAAUUUUUUAUGUUUAACUUGCCAGAGUAGAAACUCAGUUUCUGGGCGAGGCAUAGUGGCUCAUGCCUGUAAUCCCAGAACUUUGGGAGGCCAAGGCAAGCAGAUCACAAGGUCGGGAGUUCAAGACCAGCCUGGCUGACAUAGUGAAACCCUAUCUUUGCUAAAAAUACAAAAAUUAGCCCGGCAUGGUGGCAGGCACCUGUAGUCCCAGCUACUUGGGAGGCUGAGGCAGGAGAAUCACUUGAACCUGGGAGGCAGAGGUUGUGGUGAACUGAGAUCAUGCCCCUGCACUCCAGCCUGGGCAACAGAGUGAGACUCCAUCUC